rnacentral:rRNA from 1 species
UACAGAGGGUGCAAGCGUUGUUCGGAAUUAUUGGGCGUAAAGCGCGUGUAGGCGGCUAUGCAAGUCGGGUGUGAAAGCCCUCAACUUAACUGAGGAAGUGCGCCCGAAACUGCAAAGCUUGAGUACCGGAGAGGAUGGCGGAAUUCCCCAAGUAGAGGUGAAAUUCGUAGAUAUCGGGAGGAACACCAGUGGCGAAGGCGGCGAUCUGGGAACAUACUGACGCUGAGGUGCGAAAGCGUGGGGAGCAAACAGG